GAAGUGGGCCAGACGAUCGCGGGACGCGCUUGCGCGUCAUGAGGAAAGUCCGGGCUCCACAGGGCAGGAAGCAGGCUAACGGCCUGGCGGGGUGACCCGACGGAAAGCGCCGCAGAAAAGAAGACUCCCGCUGCUCGCGCAAGCGAGUGAGAGAAAAGCUGAAACGGUGGUGCAAGAGACCACCAGCGUCGUGGCAACACGGCGGCUUGGCAAGCCCCUUCCGGAGCAAUCGCAAAUAGGAGCGUCAUGGUGCGGCCCGCACCGCGCUCGGGUUGCGAGCUAGAGGGCGUCGGUAACGGCGUCAGUAGAUAAAUGAUCGUCCACGACAGAACCCGGCUCAUCGGCCCACUUCGCAC
rfam:Coriobacteriaceae bacterium KH1P3 genome assembly, contig: Ga0059117_109